rnacentral:rRNA from 1 species
GUGCCAGCAGCCGCGGUAAUACGGAGGAUCCGACGUUAUCCGGAUUUAUUGGGUUUAAAGGGUGCGCAGGCGGUCGAUUAAGUCAGUGGUCAAAUCACGGUGCUCAACGCCGUUCCGCCAUUGAUACUGGUUGACUUGAUUCCGGUCGAGGCAGGCGGAAUUCGUAGUGUAGCGUGAAAUGCAUAGAUAUUACGAAGAACUCCGAUUGCGUAGGCAGCUUACCAGGCCGGCAAUGACGCUCAUGCACGAAAGUCGGGGAUCGAACAGAUUAGAUGCCCUGUAGUCCGCACAGUAAACGAUGAAUACUUGUUCUCGGCGAUAGAAUGUCGGGGGCAAAGCGAAAGCAAUAAGUAUUCCACCUGGGAGUACGCCGGCAACGGUGAAACUCAAAGGAAUUGACGGGGGCCCGCACAAGCGGAGGAACAUGUGGUUUAAUUCGAUGCUACGCGAGGAACCUUACCCGGGCUUGAAAGUUAGCGACGAGGAUGGAAACAUCCUUUCCCUUCGGGGCGCGAAACUAGGUGCUGCAUGGUUGUCGUCAGCUCGUGCCGUGAGGUGUCGGCUUAAGUGCCAUAACGAGCGCAACCCUUUUCUCCAGUUGCCAUCAUUCGGUUGGGGACUCUGGAGACACUGCCAUCGUAAGAUGCGAGGAAGGAUGGGAUGACGUCAAAUCAGCACGGCCCUUACGUCCGGGGCGACACACGUGUUACAAUGGGGAGGACAGAGAGCUGCGACCUGGUGACAGGAAGCGAAUCUACAAACCUUCUCCCAGUUCGGAUCGGAGUCUGCAACCCGACUCCGUGAAGCUGGAUUCGCUAGUAAUCGCGCAUCAGCCAUGGCGCGGUGAAUACGUUCCCGGGCCUUGUACACACCGCCCGU